CUUGUUCUAGUCUUUCCUUUCUGUCUUUUUCCUCACGAUCCUGGCCAUAUGACCUUGUUACAGUAUCUUGUUCCUGUUGUUCUCUAUUUCUAAGCUUCGCAUCACGUUCUCUUUCUCGUACUUCCUUGGCAUGUUUGAACUUUGCCUCUGCUUUAUCCAUGGCCUCUUUCAUAGCAGCUGCAGAUGCUGCUGCUGCUGUACUUCUCUCAAAUUCUUCCUCAUUAAAAGCAUGCGCAUUCUGAGAC
rnacentral:lncRNA from 1 species